rnacentral:rRNA from 1 species
AGAACGAACGCUGGCGGCAUGCCUAACACAUGCAAGUCGAACGAGACCUUCGGGUCUAGUGGCGCACGGGUGCGUAACGCGUGGGAAUCUGCCCUUGGGUUCGGAAUAACAGUUGGAAACGACUGCUAAUACCGGAUGAUGACGUAAGUCCAAAGAUUUAUCGCCCAGGGAUGAGCCCGCGUAGGAUUAGCUAGUUGGUGAGGUAAAGGCUCACCAAGGCGACGAUCCUUAGCUGGUCUGAGAGGAUGAUCAGCCACACUGGGACUGAGACACGGCCCAGACUCCGUACGGGAGGCAGCAGGUGGGGAAUAUUGGACAAUGGGCGAAAGCCUGAUCCAGCAGUGCCGCGUGAGUGAUGAAGGCCGUUAGGGUUAGUAAAGUCUUACCGUUUUAACCCGGGAAGUAACUAAGUGACGUGGUAACCGGAGAAGUAAGCGUACCGGCUAACGUCCGUACGCCACGCACGCCGC